AGAGUUUGAUCCUGGCUCAGAACGAACGCUGGCGGCAUGCCUAACACAUGCAAGUCGAACGAGACCUUCGGGUCUAGUGGCGCACGGGUGCGUAACGCGUGGGAAUCUGCCCUUGGGUUCGGAAUAACAGUUAGAAAUGACUGCUAAUACCGGAUGAUGUCUUCGGACCAAAGAUUUAUCGCCCAGGGAUGAGCCCGCGUAGGAUUAGCUAGUUGGUGGGGUAAAGGCCUACCAAGGCGACGAUCCUUAGCUGGUCUGAGAGGAUGAUCAGCCACACUGGGACUGAGACACGGCCCAGACUCCUACGGGAGGCAGCAGUGGGGAAUAUUGGACAAUGGGCGAAAGCCUGAUCCAGCAAUGCCGCGUGAGUGAUGAAGGCCUUAGGGUUGUAAAGCUCUUUUACCCGGGAUGAUAAUGACAGUACCGGGAGAAUAAGCUCCGGCUAACUCCGUG
rnacentral:rRNA from 1 species